ACAAGCUAAGAGAUACAAAGGGAAAAGUGUGACUGCUCUGACAGCAAAAACAAGCAAAUAUCUCCAGAGGGGAUUAAUCCUUCUGCUUCAAAGUAACUAAAACAAAGAAAGCUGAGCCAGCUUCACUGGAAACAACACCUGUCCAUCAGACAAGGAUGAGCUAAU
ensembl:misc_RNA